UUCGCCCUUAGAGUUUGAUCCUGGCUCAGAACGAACGCUGGCGGCAGGCUUAACACAUGCAAGUCGAACGCCCCUUUCGGGGGGAGUGGGCAGACGGGUGAGUAACACGUGGGAACGUACCUCUUUGUUCGGAAUAACUCAUGGAAACGUGAGCUAAUACCGGAUACGCCCUUUUGGGGAAAGAUUUAUUGCAGAGAGAUCGGCCCGCGUCUGAUUAGCUAGUUGGUGAGGUAAUGGCUCACCAAGGCGACGAUCAGUAGCUGGUCUGAGAGGAUGAUCAGCCACACUGGGACUGAGACACGGCCCAGACUCCUACGGGAGGCAGCAGUGGGGAAUAUUGGACAAUGGGGGCAACCCUGAUCCAGCCAUGCCGCGUGAGUGAUGAAGGCCUUAGGGUUGUAAAGCUCUUUUAUCCGGGAAGAUAAUGACUGUACCGGAAGAAUAAGCCCCGGCUAACUUCGUGCCAGCAGCCGCGGUAAUACGAAGGGGGCUAGCGUUGUUCGGAAUCACUGGGCGUAAAGGGCGCGUAGGCGGACGAUUAAGUCAGGGGUGAAAUCCCGGGGCUCAACCUCGGAAUUGCCCUUGAUACUGGUUGUCUUGAGAUUGGAAGAGGUAAGUGGAAUUGCGAGUGUAGAGGUGAAAUUCGUAGAUAUUCGCAAGAACACCGGUGGCGAAGGCGACUUACUGGUCCAUAUCUGACGCUGAGGCGCGAAAGCGUGGGGAGCAAACAGGAUUAGAUACCCUGGUAGUCCACGCCGUAAAC
rnacentral:rRNA from 1 species